UUCGGCCAUUCCCAUUUCCCUCUUAGUUCCUCCAUUUCCUCCUUCGCAGAAUCGCAGCCAGCCACCGCCGUCGCCUCCCAUAGUCCCAUUCCCCUCAAUUCUAAUCAGUAAUCAGUCUCAGUCACUCGAAAUCUCUAAAUUCAUUUUUCCCCUCCUUUCAAACUUCAACUGUGGUUUUCUUCAGCUGAUUGAUGGACUAAAGUCUUAAAACUUUUGGGCUAUUAGAGAGCUUUCUAUGAUUGCUUUAUUGGUAAUCUCAGAGAAUAAAAAUGGAAGAUAGCGGAGUCAUGUGUGGAAGAAAAUCAAUGUUAAAUUUAAAUGAAUAUCCAGAAGACCCAUAUGUAGAUGUGGAAGAAAAUGGCAGUAGAGAGACUGGGGGUGAAGAAAAUGUCAACACUGCAAUUGAUAUCGCCUUCGAUCAAUUUUGCGUGGAUGACAUUGAGAGUGAUGAAGUGAUGAAAAUGACAUUUCCGUCCGAGUCACAUGCCAAGCUAUUUUAUAACACAUACGCAAGAGCAAUUGGGUUUAGCAUCCGCAAAAGUGAUUUCAAGAUGUUUGACAGUGAGAUUGUGAAAUAUAGAAAAUGGGUGUGCUCGUGUGAAAGAGAGCGCAAUCCAAAAUGGAAAAAUCUUCAAAAUAGACAGAGGGAGGCAAAACCCGACUUUAGAACAAAUUGCGAAACUUGUUUUCGGAUAGAGUACAAGCCUAUAGGAGAUUAACGGCAUUGACUUUUACAAUUUUGUCUAAUACAUAGACUUUGAGUAGAGGGAUGGUGGUAUCGGCAUUGAAAACGGAGGCUGCACCAAGCACAAGCCUAUAGGAGACUAACUACUGUCCCUCAAAUUCACGGUUCCCACCACACAUCGGCAUGUUGGCGAGAAGUGAAAGUGCGGCAACUGUGAAAACUUUCCUUGUUUGAAAUAGAAUUCCAUCUCAUGCAUUUGUGCCAAUUUUUUCCCCUAAUGAAUUGUACACGUUUGGA